AGCUAACGCUGGCGGCAGGCCUAACACAUGCAAGUCGAACGAACCUUUCGGGGUUAGUGGCGGACGGGUGAGUAACACGUGGGAACGUGCCUUUAGGUUCGGAAUAACUCAGGGAAACUUGUGCUAAUACCGAAUGUGCCCUUCGGGGGAAAGAUUAAUCGCCUUUAGAGCGGCCCGCGUCUGAUUAGCUAGUUGGUUGAGGUAAUGGCUCACCAAGGCGACGAUCAGUAGCUGGUCUGAGAGGAUGAUCAGCCACAUUGGGACUGAGACACGGCCCAAACUCCUACGGGAGGCAGCAGUGGGGAAUCUUGCGCAAUGGGCGAAAGCCUGACGCAGCCAUGCCGCGUGAAUGAUGAAGGUCUUAGGAUUGUAAAAUUCUUUCACCGGGGACGAUAAUGACGGUACCCGGAGAAGAAGCCCCGGCUAACUUCGUG
rnacentral:rRNA from 1 species